rnacentral:rRNA from 1 species
UACGUAGGUGGCAAGCGUUGUCCGGAUUUACUGGGCGUAAAGAGCGCGCAGGCGGUCGUACAAGUCGCGUGUGAAAGCCCCCCGGCUCAACUGGGGAGGGUCACGCGAUACUGUUCGACUCGAAGGCAGGAGAGGGAAGUGGAAUUCCCGGUGUAGUGGUGAAAUGCGUAGAUAUCGGGAGGAACACCAGUGGCGAAGGCGACUUCCUGGCCUGUUCUUGACGCUGAGGCGCGAAAGCUAGGGUAGCAAACGGG